rnacentral:rRNA from 1 species
AAUGAACGUUGGCGGCGUGGAUUAGGCAUGCAAGUCGAGCGAGAAGACUCCCUUCGGGGAGUUGGACAGCGGCAGACGGGGUAGGAAUACGUCGGAACGUACCCCUUGGUCCGGGAUAGCCGCGGGAAACUGCGGGUAAUACCGGAUGACCUCUCCGGAGCAAAGGUGAGAUUCCGCCGGGGGAGCGGCCGACGCGGUACUAGCUAGUUGGUGAGGUAACGGCUCACCAAGGCCGAGAUGCCUAGGGGGUGUGAGAGCAUGGCCCCCACCACUGGGACUGAGACACUGCCCAGACACCUACGGGUGGCUGCAGUCGAGAAUCUUCGGCAAUGGGCGAAAGCCUGACCGAGCGACGCCGCGUGCGGGACGAAGGCCUUCGGGUUGUAAACCGCUGUCAGAGGGGAUGAAGUCACGGGGGGUUCUCCCCCCGUGUUGACAGAGCCUCAGAGGAAGCACGGGCUAAGUUCGUGCCAGCCGCCGCCGUAACAC